AGAAUUUCUAAUUCUCUUUCAUUCUCUUUUCUUCUCUUUCUUCUUCUUCUUCUUCUUCCGUCCCUCUCCUGUUAUUUUUCUGUUAAUAAUUUCGAGAAUUAGUUCUUGAUUCUGAUUUGAUAUAAGCUGGUAGAGAUCGAAGGUUAAGUGAUGCUGGUGGUGCUGGUCGAUCUGGUGAAAUUAAACCCUACAGGAAAGGUAAAACAGAGAUAUGAAUUAGGGUUUAUAGAGUUGAAUGAUGUUCUGGAGAUUUGGAAAACGAUUAUGGAGUUGUUGUUAGAUGAAGAAUCUUGGGUAGAUUUUUAAUUGAUGUUUUGAAGUGGUUCCGAUAAAGAUCUGAGAAGAAUUAGGGUUUGUUAGAAGAGUCGGGGAGGAUGAAAUUGAGAGUUUAGAGAACUGAUUUGGAGGUGGGUUUGACGUGAAUUAGGGUUUAGGUUGAAGAACACUUGAAGAUUUAUGGUUAGGGUUUUGAUUGAAUCUGAGAUUGAAGUUUGAAGCUGUGAACGAGAACUUGGGUUUGUUGUUGAUGUUCUGAGUUAAGUGAAGAAGAAAUUGAAUGCAAUUGCCAGAAUAACAUAGAUUUGAGGUAAUUGUUCUGAUUUCGUAGUUUGUAUAAUUUUUUAUUGAACUGAGAUUGAUGUGAUUAUGUAUUUGGAAUUGAAUUGAUGGUGUUGAUGAAUGAAAUUGUAAUUAGGAAGUUAAAUCUGGAAUUAAUGAUGAGACAGUUGAGGGUUGGAAAUGGUGAAUGUGAAGUCUAAUUAUGGAUAGUGGAAUUGAACAGGUAGUGUUAUUAAUUGAGUAUGUGUAAUUGAUGAUUGAGCUAAGGUCUGAGAUGGGUGUUUAUUGAAGUUUGGAUGUGAAUAAAUGGAACUGUUACGUGUGUUGCUUGUUGGCGGUUAUGGAUAUGAACUGUAUGAGCUGUUGCAGGUGAAGUUGUUAGUGGCUCAUGUCAAGAAGAAAGAUCUGAGAGUUUAGAAUAUUGUUAUGAUCUGAACAUGGAAUUGGUGUUAGUGAAAUGGUUUUGUUGGAUGCUACUGUGAUAAACAAGGUGACUGGGGUUAUUAUAAUGAUGGUUGUUAUGUGUGGAUGAGAUUGGAGAAAAUGGAAUUCUGGAGAUGUAUGAGGUUGUUGUGGUGAAUACAAAGAAUUGUGAUACAAUUUCUGGUGCAGAGUUAUUCAGUCAGUGUGUGUAUGAGUUUAAGGUUGGAUGUGCUAUCAGUAUUGAAUCACAGGCUUAGAUGAAUGGAUUAAGAGUAUGUGAGAUAGAGAAAAGAAUUGAAGGCGACUGUAGUUGAGCUUGGUGUUGAUUGCUGUUAGUGAUUCAUACUGGUGUUGUGGUGUAGUGAAGUUAUAAGGGUUGUGGUGCAGAUGAAAUGAGAAAAUGGAUGAAUGCUUAGGAUGAUACAAGACUGGUUUGAGUUGUAAGAGUAAUUAAAGUUGUUUGGAACUCUUAAAUGGAGUCUGGUGGUACAGUUAUUGUUUGGACAGUUAAGUGGUGAUGCUGUUGAAGUUGCAAGGAAUAUGAGUGGCUAGAGAUGGUGGUGUUUUCUGUGUGGUUGAAUGGCAGAACAGGAGUUAGAGGUAGUUAUGAAACUGUGGUUGAAUCAGUCGGGUGCUUAUGAUGUUGCCUGUGAUGCUGUUGGAGUGUGAAUGAGAGGAAAUGAUAUUAAUGUUGGUGUAUAGUAUAUGGAGCUAGAACUUCUCAGAGUUGAAGAGAUAUAGGAAGUAGGAAAAUUAAAGGGUGUUGCUUAGAGCUGCAUUUUUGCAGGAUGAAACAGUGGAUCGUGGAUCUCGAGGUAGGCGUGGCCUCUCAUCAAAAGAGUUUCAGAGACAGAUCAAGAUGUGCAGAGUUGCGCAGCGAAAGCUUCGAGGAGUUGAUUACGUUAUUUAGAUUGUUUUCGCUAUGUUUAUUUUGUGUUUAUAUUUUAUUUGUAAAUCAACUCACUAUUGAAUAUGUAUCAUUUGAGAGGAGUUCUUGUUUUUAUUUCAGAGCGGGUCUAGAUUCGGGUUAAUCUUUGGUUAGAACUUCUUUCUUGUUGUUUAAACAGAUGUUUUGGACUAGUCAGCUGCUAGUUUUGGGGACCCUAUAAAAACGUACAUUAAAUCAAUACUUACAUGUUUAUAAAUAAGAACAUUAAUUUUUUUUAUGAAAAGAAUAACACUGUAAUUAAAAGAGAAAAAUUCAUGCA